GCCUGAGUGGCUCAGUGGUUGAGCAUCUGCCUUCAGUUCAGGAUGAUCCCAGGUUCCUGGGAUUGAGUCCCACAUCAGGCU
rnacentral:tRNA from 1 species